rnacentral:rRNA from 1 species
UACAGAGGGUGCGAGCGUUGUCCGGAAUCACUGGGCGUAAAGGGCGCGUAGGUGGCGCUCCAAGUCCGUGGUGAAAGCUCGAUGCUCAACAUCGAGUCGGCCACGGAGACUGGAGGGCUCGAGCACUGUAGGGGCAGAUGGAAUUCCGGGUGUAGCGGUGGAAUGCGUAGAGAUCCGGAAGAACACCGGUGGCGAAGGCGGUCUGCUGGGCAGUAGCUGACGCUGAGGAGCGAAAGUGUGGGGAGCGAACAGG